GGAGGAGGGGGCCGUGUGGAAACGGUGCGGGGCUUUGGGUUGGAUAUUAGGAAGAAGUUUUUCACACAGAGGUGGUGCCACUCUGGAACAGGUUGCCCGAGGAGGCUGUGGAUGCCCCAUCCCUGGAGGCAUUCAAGGCCACGCUGGAUGUGGUUCUGGGCAGCCUGGUCUGGAGGUUGGCAACCCUGCACAUAGCAGGGAGGUUGAAAGUCAAUGAUCAUUGUGGUCCUUUUCAACCAAGCCCAUUCUACGAUUCUAUGCACUAGAUUAGGCUGGCCAUGGUUCCUAUCCAACCUAGCCUCUUUUUAUGCCUUACAACUUAGCCACUUUGUACGUCUCUUUUCAGAAAGAAAACAAAGAUAUACCGAUUCAGACUACUUUAACACUUCCAUGCAAAUGCACUCUUCUAAUAUUUUUUAAAUGGAUCUUUUUGUUUUGUUUUUGCUCUGAGAAUUCUUCCUUCCACUCUAACACAUUGGUAAAAUGAAAGGCUGUCUAGUACUGCAUUAAUGGGUAUCAUUCAUGCCAGUUCACUAGUAUGGAUGGAUACUAUACUCCCUGAAAUGAAUGGUCAUUAGAUAUUUCCUCAGAAAUCUUCAUUUUUUCACAGAGUUAUUCAAGUAAUUUAUUUUUUACCAAGUCAGCAGCUAUAUAUCUGCUGAUGGAAAGAGAAUCCAUGUUCUGGAAAAGAAAACAUGUGUGCAGCGAUUUUUUCAAGAUUUUGGUCACAAGCCCAAGAUCACUCAGAGAGAAGAUCCGUGGAGGUGAGAAACAAUCACUAUUACUCUUUGCUCAGGAUGUUCUGCUUGAUGUUCUGCUCAAAGUGUGUAUAAAUAAAAAAAAUACAAACCAGAAAUACUUGAAUCUACAAGAGCAAGAGUGAGAAAAUUCAGGCGCAAAACAUCAACAGUGAGCCCCACCUGCUGUUUUCUGAUCAUCACAUCAAUC
rnacentral:lncRNA from 1 species